AUGGAUGCUUAUUUACUUUCUGAUUUUCUUCAGGCUUUGGGCAACUCAAGUCACUACUGUCACACAGAGCAAGGUGAUGAAAUUGUGAAAAGGAAAUGGUCCCCUCCAUCUCCUGAGUGACAGGCAAUCAAAUCAAGGAAAAUUCAAAAAAGUAUGAAUGGGAAGCCUACAGACUGGAGUCCUCCAGGAUUCAUGUCACACUGAAGAAGCCAGAAACAUCUCCUGUGGGAUCAGAGCCUAAUUAGUAUAUCCUGAAUUCCAGUGUCAAAACCUGGCCGGAAGCCUUAAAGAGAAACCUCAGACUUAAUAACUAGAUUAGAAUAACAGCAUAGCCACUGAGAAUUUCUUCAUGUGGGUAGCUUUUACAUCUCAGAAGAGAAGGAGUUUCUGUUUUUUUUUUUUUUUUUUUUUUUUUAAAGGAUCUUAAUGAAACCAUGAAGCUGUUCUUUUCUGUUUAGUUGCAGAGUCUAUGACACUGAAUCAAAUAAAGGUCUUCUUAGAAGCA
rnacentral:lncRNA from 1 species